rnacentral:rRNA from 1 species
GAUGAACGCUGGCGGCGUGCCUAAUACAUGCAAGUCGAGCGAACGGACGAGAAGCUUGCUUUUCUGAUGUUAGCGGCGGACGGGUGAGUAACACGUGGAUAACCUACCUAUAAGACUGGGAUAACUUCGGGAAACCGGAGCUAAUACCGGAUAAUAUUUUGAACCGCAUGGUUCAAAAGUGAAAGACGGUCUUGCUGUCACUUAUAGAUGGAUCCGCGCUGCAUUAGCUAGUUGGUAAGGUAACGGCUUACCAAGGCAACGAUGCAUAGCCGACCCGAGAGGGUGAUAGGCCACACUGGAACUGAGACACGGUCCAGACUCCUACGGGAGGCAGCAGUAGGGAAUCUUCCGCAAUGGGCGAAAGCCUGACGGAGCAACGCCGCGUGAGUGAUGAAGGUCUUCGGAUCGUAAAACUCUGUUAUUAGGGAAGAACAUAUGUGUAAGUAACUGUGCACAUCUUGACGGUACCUAAUCAGAAAGCCACGGCUAACUACGUG